UGUGCGCUUGUGCUGUGGUUGUUGGGAAAAAAAGGUUUUUGUUGUAAGAUUUUAUAGUAGAUAUCAAAGAAAUUUCUAGUAUUGUAAAAUGUUCUUAGAGUUUAUUGCAAUAAUCAGUCUUUGUAAUAAAAUGAAUGUGUUGUAUAGAAAACUGCUAAUAGUUCAGGUAUACCGAAAAAAGUUGUUGAUUAUUUGAUACAUAGUUGAUCUGAUUAGACUUCAGGUUGUGCUUUUGUUACACAAUAAAACAUUAUAAAAUCAAAGUUCGAGUGUCUUUAUUCUUCAAAUGCUUGUGUUUUGUCUUGGAAAUGUCUAAUUGUGGUCUUGUCAGGGUUUGUCUUGUCCUUGUCUGGUUUUGUCUUCCCCCUCUCAGCUUGCACCUGCCGUGGUGAGUGGGCUUUAAACUAAGACAGGCCUUUAUUGUGUGUGUGUAUUUGGAGUAAUAGUAUUGGUAGUAAGUGAAUAAUUGCUCACAAAAUGCUAUAGAAUAAUACAUUCGGAAUUACAUUAACCUAUCCAUGCAGAAGGGGUAAUUAAAUACGUGUUAAGUUAUGUGAAGUUAAUACAAUCACAAUUGAAAAUGAGCGGUGCUUGUUCUAGCGACUGUUCUGAUAGAGCUGAUGUGAACAGGAGUAAAGCUAGAGCGAGCCUUUGUGAUGGACUAUAAUUUUGCCACACUAAGGCAGUUUAAGCAGCAUUUGCUUUAACCUAGCAAGCAUCUUCAUUCCUGAGACAACACAAAUGUGCAUAGUGUUCUCGUACACAGUAGUGACUUCAGAAAAAAAAACUCGAUUUUUCUGGGCUUUGGAAAAGUUUUACAAUGAUUAAACCCCCAUCACUUAAAAGCAUACAAUAAAAAGAGUAAUAAUUGACCAUGUUUAUAGCUGCAGGUGUCCUGUCAACAGUUUUACAGACGUCUCUUUUACGAUGGUGGUCUAUGGGGACGAUGCUUUUUGGGCUGCAUGGGUAUUUUUCGCUGCAAUACCAUGAGUGGUCACUGGGAAAAACUGGCUGCAAGACUGAGCAAAGUCAUUGUCAUCUACAUCACCACCUCAAUCUUCUACAACUACUACCACAUUCACCACCUCCUCCAGAUAGUCCAUCAUAACUGGCGUUCCCAAAAAGGACACAUUGCAGGCUGAGACAUUGUGGUUUACACAGCCUGCAGUGUGUGUGUGUGUGUGUGUGUGUGUGUGUGUGUGUGUGUGUCCCUCUCCCCUUCCUUGUGUCUGUGCUUCAUUACAGGAGUGGAGACAGGUGUGCCGGAGUCAGGCAACCAGCUGCCAUCCAUCAUUAGUCCUGCAUGAAUAUCUGGUUCAGCCUCCAUCUCAUCGCCAGAUCGUAGACUCUGAUACCACAUUUUGCCUCCUCCUGACUCUGGCCCCUGUCUCCAGCCCUUCUGCCUCGUCGGCGCAGCACAACACCCUGCUCAUGGGGGAAUCCCUCUGCCUGGCUCCCCUCAGCAUCCCUUCUGCCUAGCUUCACGCCAAAGUCUCAGCCCCCGGUUCCAGCUCCUGCUCAAGCCCUUACCCCAGCCUCCCAGCUACCACCUUGCAACAAACAAUCUCCCAAAACUACUCACUGCCUCAGUUUUCUGCACUUGGGUCCACUAGCCUAGCCCCAUAACAUAUGUCAUGUGGUUGCUACAAAAUAAGAAGAAUCAAGAAAAGAGAAAUGUUGUCUAUGAUAAAGAAGAAGCCAACCAAACAAACAGACAAAGGAUAAUGUGCUUAUUGUUUGUCAUCAGCUAAACAAGGUGUGCAAAAGUCUGGGGAUUGAGCUCAGCUUUUGUGCACUGUUUCAUCCACAGACAAAUGGGCUUGUUGAAAAACUAGAUGGAACAAUACAGAGGUAACAGCCCUGUAAUUAUAUAUAAUCAUAUCAUAUAUAUUUAUGAUAUUGUGAACUGAAAAUGUAUUUGAAGCAAAGCAGCCUACAUAUUUAUGUGAUAAUACUUUUCAGGGUACUGUGCAAACUUGUAAACCAGUGUCCAGAGAGCUGAGAUAUGUAUCUGGACACCUUGAUGUUUGGACUGAGGACCAAAAAUCACAUCGCAUCACUAUUAAAUUCUCCCCAUUCUUCCUCCUGUUUGGGACAGAGGUCUGCCUCCUUAGUGAGGUUCUGGAGCAAUACAAGGCUGGGUUAGUGUAGAACAUCUACAAUUAAUCCAUAGUUUGAAAAACAAAUUGAAAAAAUAUACCUCAUUGAGAAUCAGUGUCAAUGUUUAUUAUAUGCUAUGCAAUAAAUAUUUUCAUAGAUGGGUUGGGGACAGUAUACUUUUCAGUAUUUACUUUCUGCCAACAUUUUUAUUCAAGGUUGUAAUCACUACUGAAUGACUAUGCUAACAAAAAUAUAAUUUUUGCCAUUACUGUUAUAGUGAUCAGGAGUGCUUUGAGAUUGUACAGUUAGUCAACAUAGAGAUAAGUUUGUCUCAUUCCCACAAACUUUAAAAAUUAAAGUUCUAUUUUACAGAAUGACAUCAGCAUGACCAAGAGAUGGUGUUGGAGGUCAUUAAAAGGCAGGAUUCCAUUUUCACUUGUGUGUGAAAAUAUAACUGCAGCUCAAAGCAAUACAAGAUGCCCAAAUCUGAGAAACAGGCAUGUUUUCAUGUAGGAGACAAGGUGCUUCGGAAAAAUAUUCGAAGCCAACAAAGAAAGGUUGGGAAGCUGGAGAGAAACUGCACUGGUCCCUUUACAAUAUUUGCCAUAGAAGAGCUCAGACCUAAACCUAGAGUCGAUGACCUCUGAAUUUUCAAAGCCCUGAAUACCCCAUAGAAUUAAAUCCCAAAAAGGACAAUUAACAGUUACACCAACAGCCCUGGCCCUAACACCACCAUCAGUCACGUCGCUGAUUGCUGGGUUAUUCAAAGUUUAAUAAUAUUAAAUGUUUGUGCACCAAAUUCGACACUGCUCUCCCUUGGGUCCCCAGCCAUACACCUGCCAAGUGUAGAGUCGAUUGGAAGAAGGGUUCAAGACAUACGCAAAAGGACUUACAUACAGACAUAUUCCUUCCUUUGGUAGAGAGGUGUGAAGGAUGCCUGGGAUGGUCUAAAGGCCAAUGUUCUGCUGUCAAAAAUUGGGCCGUACAAGGUCUUUUAUAGGGACGCUGGCCAAACAGGGCCUGGAUUGGAGCUUGAGUGAGAGGUAAAAAUUUGUUUUUUGU